rnacentral:rRNA from 1 species
AGUGAACGCUGGCGGUAGGCCUAACACAUGCCAGUCGAACGGCAGCACAGUAAGAGCUUGCUCUUACGGGUGGCGAGUGGCGGACGGGUGAGGAAUACAUCGGAAUCUACUUUUUCGUGGGGGAUAACGUAGGGAAACUUACGCUAAUACCGCAUACGACCUACGGGUGAAAGCAGGGGAUCUUCGGACCUUGCGCGAUUAAAUGAGCCGAUGUCGGAUUAGCUAGUUGGCGGGGUAAAGGCCCACCAAGGCGACGAUCCGUAGCUGGUCUGAGAGGAUGAUCAGCCACACUGGAACUGAGACACGGUCCAGACUCCUACGGGAGGCAGCAGUGGGGAAUAUUGGACAAUGGGCGCAAGCCUGAUCCAGCCAUACCGCGUGGGUGAAGAAGGCCUUCGGGUUGUAAAGCCCUUUUGUUGGGAAAGAAAAGCAGCAGGUUAAUACCCCGCUGUUCUGACGGUACCCAAAGAAUAAGCACCGGCUAACUUCGUG